AUGAAGAACGUAGCGAAAUGCGAUAAGUAGUGUGAAUUGCAGAAUUCAGUGAAUCAUCGAAUCUUUGAACGCACAUUGCGCCCUUUGGUAUUCCAAAGGGCAUGCCUGUUCGAGCGUCAUUUGUACCCUCAAGCUUUGCUUGGUGUUGGGCGUCUUGUCUCUAGCUUUGCUGGAGACUCGCCUUAAAGUAAUUGGCAGCCGGCCUACUGGUUUCGGAGCGCAGCACAAGUCGCACUCUCUAUCAGCAAAGGUCUAGCAUCCAUUAAGCCUUUUUUUCAACUUUUGACCUCGGAUCAGGUAGGGAUACCCGCUGAACUUAAGCAUAUCCAAUAAGCGGAGGA
rnacentral:misc_RNA from 1 species